rnacentral:rRNA from 1 species
CCACGCUGUAAACGAUGAUUACUCGGAGUAUGCGAUAUAUGGUAUGCUCUCAAGCGAAAGCGUUAAGUAAUCCACCUGGGGAGUACGUCGGCAACGAUGAAACUCAAAGGAAUUGACGGGGGCCCGCACAAGCGGAGGAACAUGUGGUUUAAUUCGAUGAUACGCGAGGAACCUUACCCGGGCUUGAACUGCAGGAGACGGUUGGCAGAGAUGCCAUCCUCCCUUCGGGGCUCCUGUGGAGGUGCUGCAUGGUUGU